rnacentral:rRNA from 1 species
AUGAACGCUGGCGGCGUGCCUAAUACAUGCCCGUCGAGCGAACGGACGAGAAGCUUGCUUCUCUGAUGUUAGCGGCGGACGGGUGAGUAACACGUGGAUAACCUACCUAUAAGACUGGGAUAACUUCGGGAAACCGGAGCUAAUACCGGAUAAUAUUUUGAACCGCAUGGUUCAAAAGUGAAAGACGGUCUUGCUGUCACUUAUAGAUGGAUCCGCGCUGCAUUAGCUAGUUGGUAAGGUAACGGCUUACCAAGGCAACGAUGCAAAGCCGACCUGAGAGGGUGAUCGGCCACACUGGAACUGAGACACGGUCCAGACUCCUACGGGAGGCAGCAGUAGGGAAUCUUCCGCAAUGGGCGAAAGCCUGACGGAGCAACGCCGCGUGAGUGAUGAAGGUCUUCGGAUCGUAAAACUCUGUUAUUAGGGAAGAACAUAUGUGUAAGUAACUGUGCACAUCUUGACGGUACCUAAUCAGAAAGCCACGGCUAACUACGUG